GUGAGGAAUAUUGGUCAAUGGGCGGGAGCCUGAACCAGCCAAGUCGCGUGAAGGAAGAAGGAUCUAUGGUUCGUAAACUUCUUUUGCAGGGGAAUAAAGUGCAGGACGUGUCCUGUUUUGUAUGUACCCUGAGAAUAAGGAUCGGCUAACUCCGUGCCAGCAGCCGCGGUAAUACGGAGGAUCCGAGCGUUACCCGGAUUUAUUGGGUUUAAAGGGUGCGUAGGUGGUUUGAUAAGUCAGCGGUGAAAGUUUGCAGCUUAACUGUAAAAAUGCCGUUGAAACUGUCGGACUUGAGUGUAAAUGAGGUAGGCGGAAUGCGUGGUGUAGCGGUGAAAUGCAUAGAUAUCACGCAGAACUCCGAUUGCGAAGGCAGCUUACUAAGCUACAACUGACACUGAAGCACGAAAGCGUGGGGAUCAAACAGGAUUAGAAACCCUAGUAGUCC
rnacentral:rRNA from 1 species